rnacentral:rRNA from 1 species
UGAACGCUGGCGGCGUGCCUAACACAUUCAAGUCGAACGAACUGUAGAAAUACAGUGAGUGGCGGACGGGUGAGUAACGCGUAAGCAAUCUGCCUUUGUGUGUGGAAUAACAACCGGAAACAGUUGCUAAUACCGCAUAACGCAUAGGAGUCGCAUGGCUCUUAUGCCAAAGAUUUAUCGCACGAAGAUGAGCUUGCGUCCGAUUAGAUAGUUGGCGGGGUAACGGCCCACCAAGUCUACGAUCGGUAGCCGGACUGAGAGGUUGAACGGCCACAUUGGAACUGAGAUACGGUCCAGACUCCUACGGGAGGCAGCAGUGGGGAAUAUUGGGCAAUGGACGAAAGUCUGAACCCCAGCGACGCCGCGUGAGGGAAGAAGGUCUUCGGAUUGUAAACCUUAGUCAACAGGGACGAAGCAAGUGACGGUACCUGUGGAGGAAGCCACGGCUAACUACGUGCCAGCCGCUGC